GUCUACGGCCAUGCCACCCUGAACAAGCCUGAUCCUAUGUAAUCUCGGAAGCUAAGCAGGGUCGAGCCUGGUUAGUACUUGAAUGGGAGACCACCUAGGAAGACCAGGUGCUAUAGGCG
rnacentral:rRNA from 1 species